CAUUCAGUAUAGUGCCGGGUGCACAGAUGCCUUCAGUAAAUGUUUGCCGAGUGAACCCAAUGAAUGGACAUUUUGUCACUGGAUCUGUUCAUUUAUUCUCUGGCUUGUUCCCCGGCUCUCCUUGAAAUACAGCUGCUUUCAUUGGCUUCGCCUUUAUUUACUGGGUGGAUGUGCUUGUUUUCAUCACCAGGAAGAGAAAGCAAGCACAGAAAUAGCCUUGCCACCGCAGCCAUAGUUUAGGCAAAGGAGCCUCUUUUGUGCCAAGAACGGACUCGCCCACAACUUGGUGGAGGUGUAGUCCCCGGUGCUCAAAGAGCCUUCUGUGGGGAAUCAGAGGGGCAGCCGGAUGACAGAGAUUACAUACGAGCUGAUGGGUCCUAGAAUCUCCAAGUCCCCUCCCUGAACAAGUACAACAUGCGGCUCUUGCUGGGAAGAAACUAAAAAAUGUCUACUCAUCCCAGCAAGUCACUGGCAACAGACUAAGGGAACCAACCACUCAACCCCAAGACUAACUUGUCUGCUGGAAGUAAAUAACCUCUGGAGAUCAUUUGGGGGAGUUGAGAGCCGUUUCGCAGUCAUGAGACGUGUAGGCUGACUCGUGGAAACCUGUGAGCCCCUAAAUCCAGGACAGAUGGGUUUGUGUUUCUUCUCAUCUUCCCACUCCCAUCUCCCUGAGCUCUCUGGCUGGCUCUGGCCCUCAUUUUCAAAUCGAGUCUGUCUCGGGGAAGAGCCAAGCGGCGCAGCCCCGCCCCCUCCUCAGUGACCAGGUGCUUUCCGGCAUCUCUGGUUUUCCCCAAGUUCCUCUACUCAUCUCUGGGGAAAUCGUCGGGCCAACCUACCUGAACCCGACCCUGUCCCGUCUACUGUAUUCCCUCCGCUCCUGAACCCAGCAAUAUCCAAGAUUUAUGCUGCUAUCCGUGCUUCUCGGUGAUUAAAAAUAGGUUUUCUUCCCUGCAGCUGCUAGGCUGUAUUCGUGUCUGAAAUACAGCGGUACUUUGCUGUGUGAAUCCGCGCCUUUUCUUGCAAGGACCAGCCCCUGAGGGAGAAAUCUUUUAUUUGUCAUUCGUGGUUCAUCAAGGCCGAGUUGAAGGUGUCUUUCAGAUGAAGAAGGGUUGAAGCAGAAUCCUACCUCCUGCUGCCUCUGCUUCUGCAUAGAAAUCAGAGUGGCCUGAUGGGGGAGCUGAGUCUAAGGCUGAUCAGAUGAGCAGUUAGUUAUUCUCUAAACAGGAAGGGCAAGGCCAUUUGACAUUGCAUUGGGGUUUAAA